rfam:Chloroflexi bacterium 13_1_40CM_55_7 13_1_40cm_scaffold_6728, whole genome shotgun sequence.
CCCAGCGCUGAAGCGCUGGGCUAAUAUUGUGCCGUCCCUGCGGGACU